UUAACACAACAAUCCUCUCUUUCUCUUACCUGUUACCAUCACACAAUCACCAUUCAACAAUUUUCUUUUUCCUGUUUAAUAACCUACUUUUGUAUUUUCAAAUAAAGUCACUCAAGAUAAUAUUUCAUUCGACCUAGAAAUCUGUCGUGUUAUGAUCUAUGGACCAACAAGUUAGAGUAUUAGUGUACCCGAGCAAAAGAUAGUAAGAGGUGAGAAACUCCCCAGACCAAUUUCAGAUUGAAGCAACCACUCUGUAUUCACACCUGAAAAUAGAUCGCGACCGGUUCACUGACAGAAUUCAGUGCUGAAUUUUACAGAUUAUGGAUGUUCUAAAGUUGUUGCCCUGUUUGUUCGCGUUGUGU
rnacentral:lncRNA from 1 species